UAAGUGCCCGGCGGCCGCUAAUAACAGACGCUGGCCCAGUCAGGCUGCAGGAGCAAGUCACAAGGGCCUCACUGGCUCAGAGGGAGAAGGGGGACCAGCCUGAGAGGCGGGGAGACCCACCGAACCCAGCGGAAGGCCAUCUGAGCAUACGUCCAAACAGCUCCAAAGGCACAGUCCUUGGUCUCCAGCAGCCUCACCUCUAGGAACUCAGACCCAGGGGCUGAGAUGGGAGAGAUGGAGACCCAGCUAGAGAGGCGCCCACUGCUUAUAAGAGAAAAGAAGUGACAGUGUCCAUGUCCAAUGGAGGAGCCAGUCAGGAAAUCCUCUACUCGUAACUGUACGUGGUGUAUGUAUUAUAUACGCAUAUACAAAGGUCUGGAUGUACACAUUCCAAAAUGGGGCCAGGCCAGGGCCAGGCUUACCUGCGGCACCUCCACGGCCGUCAUGGCGAAGAGGUGGAGACAGAAGAUCUUGGAGCCGUUGUAGCCGACCACGAAGCCCUGCAGCCUCUGCUGGUGCACGGGGAAGGUGCUGGCCUUGAU